AUCCUGGCUCAGGAUGAACGCUAGCGGCAGGCUUAACACAUGCAAGUCGAGGGGUAUGCCGAUUUAUCGGCAGAGACCGGCGCACGGGUGCGUAACGCGUAUGCAAUCUGCCUUCCACAGAGGGAUAGCCCAGAGAAAUUUGGAUUAAUACCUCAUAGCAUCAUGUUCCGGCAUCGGGAUAUGAUUAAAGUCACAACGGUGGAAGAUGAGCAUGCGUCCCAUUAGCUAGUUGGUAAGGUAACGGCUUACCAAGGCUACGAUGGGUAGGGGUCCUGAGAGGGAGAUCCCCCACACUGGUACUGAGACACGGACCAGACUCCUACGGGAGGCAGCAGUGAGGAAUAUUGGUCAAUGGACGCAAGUCUGAACCAGCCAUGCCGCGUGCAGGAUGACGGUCCUAUGGAUUGUAAACUGCUUUUGUACGGGAAGAAACACUCCUACGUGUAGGAGCUUGACGGUACCGUA
rnacentral:rRNA from 1 species